CUCUCUGUGGCGUAGUGGUUUGAGCAUUGGGCUAUGACUCUGCAGAACAGGGUUCGAAUCCGUGCUCAGCCA